CCGGGCGGCACGGGUGGAGUAACACGUAUCCAACCUGCCGUCUACUCUUGGCCAGCCUUCUGAAAGGAAGAUUAAUCCAGGAUGGGAUCAUGAGUUCACAUGUCCGCAUGAUUAAAGGUAUUUUCCGGUAGACGAUGGGGAUGCGUUCCAUUAGAUAGUAGGCGGGGUAACGGCCCACCUAGUCAACGAUGGAUAGGGGUUCUGAGAGGAAGGUCCCCCACAUUGGAACUGAGACACGGUCCAA
rnacentral:rRNA from 1 species